UACAGAGGGUGCAAGCGUUAAUCGGAAUUACUGGGCGUAAAGCGCACGUAGGCGGUUGGUUAAGUUGGAUGUGAAAGCCCCGGGCUCAACCUGGGAAUUGCAUUUGAAACUGGGGAACUAGAGUGUGUGAGAGGGGGGUAGAAUUCCAAGUGUAGCGGUGAAAUGCGUAGAGAUUUGGAGGAAUACCAGUGGCGAAGGCGGCCCCCUGGCACAACACUGACGCUCAGGUGCGAAAGCGUGGGGAGCAAACAGG
rnacentral:rRNA from 1 species